UGUGACAACUUAAAGAUACUUUAGCCCAAUCAAAGCUAAACAGAAAACAAAAACCAACAACAACUUAAACAGCUACUAACAUUAAUUGUGCGUGGGCCAUGCCUGAGUGAAUUAUCUGCCAGAAACGCCACAGAUUGGCCACAAUCUCAAGUGCAUCCGUAUAUGUAUCUCACAUCUCACUCCCUGUGUCUGUGUCUAUAGCUCUGUGUGCCUGUGUGUGUCUCAGUGUGUGUUUAAACGAACAAAGCGAAGCGAAUUCAUCGACAAAGGGAAUGCUCUUUGAACACCACAAACAUUUGGAUUAUCUAAUACCAUACAUUGGAUGGAGAGAGAGGAAAACUUGAGGCAAAACAACAUUUAUAAAUAGCGGGGAAAAGGAAAGAAAAACUACAAAGAAAUCAAAAUGAAAAGUGCAGCAAGCAAACAACAAAAUGUGUAACCAAUCAAUGGAGUUUGAACCCUUAAAAAAUAUCCAAGCCAACAACUAAAAAUA